rnacentral:rRNA from 1 species
GAUGAACGCUGGCGGCGUGCCUAAUACAUGCAAGUCGAGCGAACAGACGAGGAGCUUGCUCCUCUGACGUUAGCGGCGGACGGGUGAGUAACACGUGGAUAACCUACCUAUAAGACUGGGAUAACUUCGGGAAACCGGAGCUAAUACCGGAUAAUAUAUUGAACCGCAUGGUUCAAUAGUGAAAGACGGUUUUGGUGUCACUUAUAGCUGGAUCCGCGCCGCAUUAGCUAGUUGGUAAGGUAAAGGGUUACCAAGGCAACGAUGCGUAGCCGACCGGAGAGGGUGGUCGGCCACACGGGAACUGAGACACGGACAAUACUCCUACGGGAGGCAGCAGUAGGGAAUCUUCCGCAAUGGGCGAAAGCCUGACGGAGCAACGCCGCGUGAGUGAUGAAGGUCUUCGGAUCGUAAAACUCUGUUAUGAGGGAAGAACAAAUGUGUAAGUAACUAUGCACGUCUUGACGGUACCUAAUCAGAAAGCCACGGCUAACUACGUG